rnacentral:lncRNA from 1 species
AACAGAGCCAGGAUUAGAGCUGUUCUCUUGUUUUGCUUUCCUCCUCCUCAGAGUGAGGUUUUUCUCUCCCUUGUAACUUUUUUAGGCAGUUGAAAUAUCUGCUAGGAAAAUAGGCUUCAUGUCAUGGUAAAGCUAAAUGAUUUUGGAAACCUGAGAUCCUUCAAAGCUUAGGGAUAUUUUAAUGCAAUCGACUUCAAACUUCCUCAAUGAUGUAAAUAAAUAUUUAAUGGAUCUUAAAUUGACUUGUUAAAUUUUGCUCUUGUUUGUUUCAAUUCAUUUGCUUUUUUAGUAGCAUUUGAUCAUUUUAAAAGAGAAUUAUCCUAAAAUAUACUACACAUUACCUUACUUUGGCAAGUGAAAAUUCGGAGGCAAAUGGAACUUUUCCUAGUUAAGCAAUGUUUCCAUCCCUGUUUGGCUGCACUGAUUUAACGUUCUUCUGUCUCCCUGUGACUACCAGCUAUGCUUUGCUCUGGAUGGAUGAGGUCAGCAGAUUGCGGCCUUCAUAAUCUCUGCAGUGGGAAGCCCAACAGAAUGAAACAAGAGGAGCUGCAUUUGGAUCUCAGCUCUAUGUCCCUCGCACUUGAGAUGCUGCCACAACGUGGCUUGAUGAGCAGUGCUAGGCCCACGCCCAGGAUCUGAAACCAUGAACCACGGGCCACUGAAGUGGAGUGGGCAAACUUAACCUCUACACCACCAGGCUGCACCCUGGCUUGUGGUAUUUUAAAGUGGAAGUUUCAGUUUGUUGCAACCAAAAGAAUCUUUCUUACAACAUAAAGGAAGAAUCUGGGCAAUUAGUUUUGAGGAGGAUAACUUUUUAGUG